GCGCUGACGUGUCUCUGUCCCGCAGGAGUUGGACGCUCCGUUCCGUCUGUACGGUCUGACCAUGAAUCCUCUGCUGUAUAACAUCACUCAGGUGGUGAUUCUGUCGGCCGUGUCGGGGGUCAUCAGCGACCUGCUGGGCUUCAACCUGAAGCUGUGGAAGAUCAAAUCAUGACGGUGAAUCUGCAGUGAUUUCAGCUUCCCGAGGCGAUGCGCGUCUCAAACACACGGUGGCGCUGUUUCCCCUCGACGGCUUCCUGACAAUGAACUCUUGACCUGUUGUUCGGUCAUAGAGUGCUUGUGCAAUUCAGCUAUUUAUUUUACCCUUUCAGUGUUUUUUUUUAUUCUGAAGUAUUUGUUUUAGCUGUUACAAUUGUUUUAAGUAUUAUUUUAGCUCCUGAUGUGAUGUUCUCAUAGGAAAGAUAAUCCAGCGCAGUCUGAUCUGCGAGUUACUGAAACCAACAGAAAAGCCCCAUCAUGACGCGAUGAUCAUUGUGGAACGGAUGAAACUGACACACACACACACACACACACAACUGAAACUGCCGUUUUUACACGCGUGUGAGUUUCAUCAGUUGAUCUGCAGUUUUUCAGCUUUGUUUUCAUUCUCAGCAACACGUGUCAGUGAGUUCAGAUGAACAUUAAUACGUCUGAUCUCACACUGAUUCAGCCGCUUCAUGUGUCGUCUGUGACCCACACACACUCCGUCGGUCUGUAAACACGUGUGUGUGUGUGUGUGUGUGUGUGUGUCAGUUAGCAAAGCCUCAAAAUGUGCACUUUAAAGCAGAAAAUGUUACAUGUUUCAGUCAUGUUUCAGUCUGUCAGUGGUUCAGUCUUGGUGUUUUGUACGUGAUGUAACGACCAAAGUGUUUUUCUUUUUCCUUUGUCUGUUUGUUUUUUUUGCUGGAGAUGAAUGUAUUCGACUCCCUGAACUCUGCUUUGUAAAGGGGACUGACAGAGUUACUUUUUUUGUUGUUGUGAUGCUGUUUUAAGUUUGAUUCAUAUAGAUUCAUAUUUCUGUUCAUGGAGGGAAAAUGUUCUGUUACAAAGAAACACUAUUUAAAGAAAAAGAGAAAUGGAGAAACUGAACGUCUCGUUCGCUUUUCAGAGAAUCUUGUGUUUCUAGUUUCUGUAUAUUAUUCAGACGUUUCUCUUCUCAGAUGAAGGUACAGCCAGCUUCACGAGAAUCUUGUGCUGGUGAAACUUAUAUUUCAACACGCUGUACAAAAUAAAUCUCUCAUGAAAAGUG